rnacentral:rRNA from 1 species
GAAACUGGGAGACUUGAGUGCAGAAGAGAGAGUGGAAUUCCAUGUGUAGCGGUGAAAUGCGUAGAUAUAUGGAGGAACACCAGUGGCGAAGGCGGCUCUCUGGUCUGUAACUGACGCUGAGGCUCGAAAGCGUGGGGAGCAAACAGGAUUAGAUACCUGGCAGUCCACGCCGUAAACGAUGAGUGCUAAGUGUUGGAGGGUUUCCGCCCUUCAGUGCUGCAGCUAACGCAUUAAGCACUCCGCCUGGGGAGUACGACCGCAAGGUUGAAACUCAAAGGAAUUGACGGGGGCCCGCACAAGCGGUGGAGCAUGUGGUUUAAUUCGAAGCAACGCGAAGAACCUUACCAGGUCUUGACAUCCUUUGACCACUCUAGAGAUAGAGCUUCCCCUUCGGGGGCAAAGUGACAGGUGGUGCAUGGUUGUCGUCAGCUCGUGUCGUGAGAUGUUGGGUUAAGUCCCGCAACGAGCGCAACCCUUAUUGUUAGUUGCCAUCAUUUAGUUGGGCACUCUAGCAAGACUGCCGGUGACAAACCGGAGGAAGGUGGGGAUGACGUCAAAUCAUCAUGCCCCUUAUGACCUGGGCUACACACGUGCUACAAUGGGAAGUACAACGAGUUGCGAAGUCGCGAGGCUAAGCUAAUCUCUUAAAGCUUCUCUCAGUUCGGAUUGCAGGCUGCAACUCGCCUGCAUGAAGCCGGAAUCGCUAGUAAUCGCGGAUCAGCACGCCGCGGUGAAUGCGUUCCCGGGCCUUGUACACACCGCCCGUCACACCACGAGAGUUUGUAACACCCGA